UACGGGGGGAGCAAGCGUUGUUCGGAUUUACUGGGCGUAAAGGGCGCGUAGGCGGCCAGCACAAGUCAGUUGUGAAAUCUCCGAGCUUAACUCGGAACGGUCAACUGAUACUGUGCGGCUAGAGUGCAGAAGGGGCAACUGGAAUUCUUGGUGUAGCGGUGAAAUGCGUAGAUAUCAAGAGGAACACCUGUGGCGAAGGCGGCAUCCUGGACCAACACUGACACUGAAAAGCGAAAGCCAGGGGAGCAAACGGG
rnacentral:rRNA from 1 species